UUCAUGGAAAUAUUGAAUCUCAACCAAUGAAAAAUCAAAAGUUGAGACUAGAAUAACCAACACUGUAAUGAAAGGCAAUAACUAGUGAUAAGAACCAUGACCGCGGCGGCCACGCUUCCCUCUCCCUCGAACCGUCUUCCAUUCCAUGUCUUGGUAUUUACUAGGGGGUUUUGUUUCCCUCCCACCUCUUGUCAAGCUGAGCGAGCUAGAUGGCUCGGUCCCAUCUUCAUCCAAUCCCACAUCUCUUGACCCUUUGAACUGAGCAGGACUCUCAAAUGCAAAGGGUGUGUGUUGUGGCUAGAGGACCAACGACUAAAGUUUCACUAACCUCAGUGUUGAUAACGGUUGAUGGAGAUGACUCCAUAAAGUAAAGAUUGUAUUAAGCUCAUCGUUAACAAUGUACAAGAGAGGCAAUAUAUACAUCACAGACUCUAGGGAAGAUAUUAACAACAUUCCUAAAACAGAGGAGCUAU
rnacentral:lncRNA from 1 species